rnacentral:rRNA from 1 species
UACGAAUGGGGCGAGCGUUGUUCGGAAUUACUGGGCGUAAAGGGCGCGUAGGCGGCCCUCUUUGUCGCGUGUGAAAGCCCCGGGCUCAACCUGGGAACGGCGCGCGAAACGGGGGGGCUGGAGUUCGGGAGAGGAGCGUGGAAUUCCCAGUGUAGAGGUGAAAUUCGUAGAUAUUGGGAAGAACUCCGGUGGCGAAGGCGGCAUACUGGACCACCACUGACGCUGAUGCGCGAAAGCCAGGGGAGCAAACGGG